ensembl:lncRNA
CUACCAGAAAACAUCUGCUUUAGGAGAGAGUCUUCCCCUCUCAGUUGCACAUUUUUUUGCGUGUAGGGAACAUGCCAAGCUUGUUCUCUUGCUAAGAGAUGCCAAAAUGGAUCCAAACACAUGACUUUAGAAUACCAGGAAACUGCUCUUUCCUCUGCAGCUGGCUGACUUAACCUCAUGUAAGCAAGUUGUUCUGCAGCAGGCUCAGGGAUUUGAAGACUUCAGGUUAUCAGCGCUGGCGACUCAUCUCACCUUGAACUAGAUGAAUGUCUGCCUAAGGAUAAGCAGGCACACUGUGCACCUGUGAGGCAUGGGGGUGAAAACAAUGCCUUGGGCAGCAAAGACUUGCUCUGCUUUCAUUGAUGCAGAUCUUUAGAGGCACUGGGAGCUGCAGCAUCAAGUGUGCACUGGACCUGAGCAAAACAGGCUCUGCGUAAAAUGAAAACCAGCCAAACUGACAAUUACCCUAAGGUACAGAAAUAGUGAUCAGGGGAAGGAAAAAAAAAAAGAAAAGAAAAAGAAAAAGAAACUGCAUGCGUUCAAAUCAGAGAGGUGGCAGACAUCCUGCAGGCACAUAGCAGAGCACAGAAGGGUCCAGCAUCUUCAUGCUUCAAAACCCAG